AUGAGAUUCACUUUGCCAAAUGGUGUAACGUCAUCUAUGGAGAUUUUCGAGCAUGUCAGAGAAAUUGAUUGUCACCCUAAUAUCUCAAUUAUUUAUCGCACCUUAUUUAUUGUGCCUGUGACGGCUGAAACAAGCUUUUCAAAGUUGAAAUUGCCGAAGAACUAUCCGAGGUCAACAACGACUCAAGUGAUGUUAAAUUGUUUAACAAAAUUAUGCAUCGAGAAGAAAUUAUUGGAUUAUAUUGACGUCGACCUCAUCAUAAGUGACUUUGCAUCGAGGAAUGUUAGAAAUUUUUUUAAGGUAAUAUGUACAAAUUAUUUGGUAUGCGUACUGAUUUUGAAUGCAUUUAAUGAAGUGUAUUUGAUAAUAUUUCAAAAACGUAUGUAUAUUAAUUUCCAUUGUUACGAUGUCUAUAUUAAAGGCCACGAGUGGAUUAUAUUGACGUCGACCUCAUCAUAA
rnacentral:rRNA from 1 species